UACGUAGGGGGCAAGCGUUAUCCAGAUUUACUGGGCGUAAAGCGCGUGUAGGCGGCCAGGUAGGUCUGCUGUGAAAACUCGAGGCUCAACCUCGAGACGUCGGCGGAAACCAUCUGGCUAGAGUCCGGAAGAGGAGAGUGGAAUUCCUGGUGUAGCGGUGAAAUGCGCAGAUAUCAGGAAGAACACCCGUGGCGAAGGCGGCUCUCUGGGACGGUACUGACGCUGAGACGCGAAAGCGUGGGGAGCGAACAGG
rnacentral:rRNA from 1 species